rnacentral:lncRNA from 1 species
UCGAGCCCCAAAUCAGGCUCUGUGUUGAGCAUGGAACCUACUUAUGAGUCUCUCUCUCUCUUUCUCUCUCUGCCUCUCUCCUGCUUGCAUACGCUCUCUCUCUCUCUUUCUAAAAAAGACCCCAAAAACAAAAAAAGAAAAAAAGAAAAGAAAAAACAAACAAAAAUUAUUUGAUACAACUAAAAGUCAAAGAAGUAACCUAAGAAAGGGAAAUACAAAUACUAUUGAGGUUCAGAGGAAGGAGAAAAUGGAUAAAGUUCUAGGAUGAACGAGAAUUUGAAAAAAUGGGAGUAAGUCAUUCAUUAUCCUAUUAAGUGAGGUUUGCCAUUGUUCUGACACAGAGGAUCAAGUCUUCCAACCUUUGGAUUGAUCUACGGACCCACAUUGGUGAAGAAAGAGUGUUCCUUCUAACAAAGCCUGCAAGCCUACCUGGGAAUGAGGAGUGAUGCAGCCUCAUAUCAAUCUCUAUACAAGAAGAGUUUCAAAAGGAUGCACUUCAGCACUUCUAUCAGAAAGGCUGAACACCCUAAGAAAUCCCCAGUACCCACAUGUAUCUCAUUGGCAAAGGAAACCAGUAAGCUGAAGAAAAUGUGGGAAGAUUUGGGUAGAGCAAUUCCGGACAUGAAGAAACAUACCAGACAGUUGCUGAACUUGGAGAAACGUUCUGACCACCAUUUUAGGCUUUCCUCACCUCUACUGUCCUACCAAAACGAUACUGUGACUCCGUAACAACAACAACCACAAAAAUUACAAACACAAAAACCUAAAGUUAUAACUGUUUUUAAAAUUGGAACGUGUCCUAAACUUGAUAGAUAUUGGCCUAAAACCACUUUUAGGAGGCAUAUUCCCAUGCGGCUCUCUAUUGUAUUGUGUGCAUAGAACUUUUCAGAACCACUGCUGAAGAAAUGGUUAAAUAAAGAAUUUUGCUGCUCCUGUUUUACUACUUUA